UACGGCAAUAUCACAUGGAAAUACCAGCUCUCGUAUGAUCAUCGAAGUUAAACAACGUCGAACCUAGUCAGUACCUAGAUGAGUAACCGCUUCGGAAUAACAAGUGCUGUAAG